rnacentral:rRNA from 1 species
UGAGUAGGCGGUUAUAUGUGUCAGAUGUAAAAGGCGUGGGCUUAACCUACGUUAGCAUUUGAAACUGUAUGACUUGAGUGCAGGAGAGGUAAGUGGAAUUCCUAGUGUAGCGGUGAAAUGCGUAGAUAUUAGGAGGAACACCAGUGGCGAAGGCGACUUACUGGACUGUAACUGACGCUGAGUCACGAAAGCGUGGGUAGCAAACA